UUUUGAAAUACAUUUGCUUUGAUUCUUAAGAAAUAAAUUUUUUGUCAAAAAAAUUUCCAAAAAAAAAAAAAAAAAAAAAAAAGGCUUCAGAAGUUUGAAUGAAUUUUGUUUCUUCAAAGUUUUAAUUGAUUUCAAUUCCUCAAAUAUUAAAUAAUUUUUUAAACAACAAAUUUCUUCGUGUUUUACUCACUUGUGGAUGAUUCAUCAUUUCUCACCGUUACUAUUCCUUUCCUUUUUCAAUCUUUAAUCCUUUCUUUAUUCAGUUGUAUCCUUUUCCUUUUCAUCACUCUUAUCCCUUUCUCCUUUACAUUUUACAAUCAAACUCCAUACUUCGCUCUCCUUUCAACAAACUAUCCUACACGAAUUUAUUUAUCUAUUUCUCACUUUUUUUUCGCCUCUUGUAGCCUUUCCUGCACUUAAUCAUUGUUUUCCCUUUAUUUACUCUUUUUUCAAUAUCUCUAGCUUUUGCAAAAGUCAUCCGUUUUCGCUCGUUCUUUCGUUUUUCAUCCAUUUUCAUUGUUUCUCUAUUCAUUUCCUUCUUUUUCAUACCAUUUCACCCAUCUUUUCAUACCAUUUAACCCAUCUUUUCCCGCCCAUCUUCUUCCUAUUCUUCGUUUUUCUUUUACCAUCCAAAAUUCUCUUUCAUUAGCCUGCUGUAAACCGAUUAUAAGCAUGAUCGCUAUAGUCGCCGCUGACACAGACUUAUUGAGCCAAGAACAACGUCAUUCCAUGAUCAACGCUAUGACUGCUAUCUAACCAC